rnacentral:sRNA from 1 species
GCCUAGCCCCGAUGGGAGGGAAAAUCCUUUUGUGCCGGUCCCGAGGCAUAAAAGAUUGGAAGGAACAGCGGGAAAUAGC